rfam:Human gut metagenome DNA, contig sequence: F1-S_012325.
GCUGCUCAAAAAGACAGCCUCCACGCGGCGAGCAGCGGGCAACGGGAAACACUCCCGGCGAAUCGUCUUU